UGGGGAAUCUUGGACAAUGGGGGCAACCCUGAUCCAGCCAUGCCGCGUGAGUGAUGAAGGCCUUAGGGUCGUAAAGCUCUUUCGCCUGUGAAGAUAAUGACGGUAGCAGGUAAAGAAACCCCGGCUAACUCCGUGCCAGCAGCCGCGGUAAUACGGAGGGGGUUAGCGUUGUUCGGAAUUACUGGGCGUAAAGCGCACGUAGGCGGACCAGAAAGUUGGGGGUGAAAUCCCGGGGGCUCAACCCCGGAACUGCCUCCAAAACUAUUGGUCUAGAGUUCGAGAGAGGUGAGUGGAAUUCCAAGUGUAGAGGUGAAAUUCGUAGAUAUUUGGAGGAACACCAGUGGCGAAGGCGGCUCACUGGCUCGAUACUGACGCUGAGGUGCGAAAGCGUGGGGGAGCAAACAGGAUUAGAUACCCCUGGUAGUCCACGCUGUAAAACGAUGGGGUACUCGGUGUUGCGGGGUGUUGACCCCUGCAAUGCCUUAGCUAACGCGUUAAGUACCCCCGCC
rnacentral:rRNA from 1 species